rnacentral:rRNA from 1 species
AGAGCGAACGCUGGCGGCAGGCUUAACACAUGCAAGUCGAGCGGAUGUAGCAAUACAUCAGCGGCAGACGGGUGAGUAACACGUGGGAACGUACCUUUUGGUUCGGAACAACACAGGGAAGCUUGUGCUAAUACCGGAUAAGCCCUUACGGGGAAAGAUUUAUCGCCGAAAGAUCGGCCCGCGUCUGAUUAGCUAGUUGGUGAGGUAAUGGCUCACCAAGGCGACGAUCAGUAGCUGGUCUGAGAGGAUGAUCAGCCACAUUGGGACUGAGACACGGCCCAAACUCCUACGGGAGGCAGCAGUGGGGAAUAUUGGACAAUGGGCGCAAGCCUGAUCCAGCCAUGCCGCGUGAGUGAUGACGGCCUUAGGGUUGUAAAGCUCUUUCGCUCGGGACGAUAAUGACGGUACCGAGAUAAGAAGCCCCGGCUAACUUCGUGCCAGCAGCCGC